rnacentral:rRNA from 1 species
CUACGGGCGACUGCAGUGAGGAAUAUUGCACAAUGGGGGGAACCCUGAUGCAGCAACGCCGCGUGGAGGAUGACGCAUUUCGGUGUGUAAACUCCUUUUAUAUGCCAAGAAAAUGACGGUAGCAUAUGAAUAAGCACCGGCCAACUCCGUGCCAGCAGCCGCGGUAAUACGGAGGGUGCAAGCGUUACUCGGAAUCACUGGCGUAAAGGACGCGUAGGCGGGUUGGAAAGUCAGGUGUGAAAUCCUACAGCUUAACUGUAGAACUGCACUUGAAACUUCUAAUCUAGAGUAUGGGAGGGGGAGAUGGAAUUAGUGGUGUAGGGGUAAAAUCCGUAGAUAUCACUAGGAAUACCUAAAGCGAAGGCGAUCUCCUGGAACAUUACUGACGCUAAGGCGUGAAAGCGUGGGGAGCAAACAGGAUUAGAUACCCCAGUAGUC